rnacentral:rRNA from 1 species
GACGAACGCUGGCGGCGUGCUUAACACAUGCAAGUCGAACGGAAAGGCCCUGCUUGCGGGGUACUCGAGUGGCGAACGGGUGAGUAACACGUGGGUGCUCUGCCCUGCACUUCGGGAUAAGCUUGGGAAACUGGGUCUAAUACCGGAUAGGAGCCAUCUUUAGUGUGGUGGUUGGAAAGUUUUUUCGGUGUAGGAUGAGCUCGCGGCCUAUCAGCUUGUUGGUGGGGUAAUGGCCUACCAAGGCGGCGACGGGUAGCCGGCCUGAGAGGGUGUACGGCCACAUUGGGACUGAGAGACGGCCCAGACUCGUACGGGAGGCAGCAGUGGGGAAUAUUGCACAAUGGGCGCAAGCCUGAUGCAGCGACGCCGCGUGGGGGAUGAAGGCCUUCGGGUUGUAAACUCCUUUCGCUAGGGACGAAGCUUUUUUGUGACGGUACCUAGAGAAGAAGCACCGGCUAACUACGUG